rnacentral:tRNA from 1 species
GGGAGCGUCGGUUAAUUGGUAAACCAGCGGUCUCCAAAACCGCAACUGAGGGUUCGAGUCCUUCCGCUCCCG